CUACGGGUUGCAGCAGUGAGGAAUAUUGGACAAUGGAGGAAACUCUGAUCCAGCCAUGCCGCGUGAGUGAAGAAGGCCUUAGGGUUGUAAAGCUCUUUCAAUAGUGAAGAUAAUGACGGUAGCUAUAGAAGAAGCUCCGGCUAAAUUCGUGCCAGCAGCCGCGGUAAUACGAAUGGAGCAAGCGUUGUUCGGAAUCACUGGGCUUAAAGCGUGCGCAGGCGGACUUGAAAGUCAGAAGUGAAAUCCCAGAGCUCAACUCUGGAACUGCUUUUGAAACUUCAUGUCUAGAAUCCGAUAGAGGUAAGGGGAAUUCCUAGUGUAGAGGUGAAAUUCGCAGAUAUUAGGAGGAACACCAGUGGCGUAGGCGCCUUACUGGGUCGGUAUUGACGCUCAUGUACGAAAGCGUGGGGAGCAAACAGGAUUAGAUACCCCCGUAGUC
rnacentral:rRNA from 1 species